rnacentral:rRNA from 1 species
UCUGGAAACUNUCUGACUUGAGUGCAGAAGGGGAGAGUGGAAUUCCAUGUGUAGCGGUGAAAGCGUAGAUAUAUGGAGGANCACCAGUGGCGAAAGCGGCUCUCUGGUCUGUCACUGACGCUGGGGCUCGAAAGCGUGGGUAGCGAACAGGAUUAGAUACCCUGGUAGUCCACGCCGUAAACGAUGAGUGCUAGGUGUUAGGCCCUUUCCGGGGCUUAGUGCCGGAGCUAACGCAAUAAGCACUCCGCCUGGGGAGUACGACCGCAAGGUUGAAACUCAAAGGAAUUGACGGGGGCCCGCACAAGCGGUGGAGCAUGUGGUUUAAUUCGAAGCAACGCGAAGAACCUUGCCAGGUCUUGACAUCCCGAUGCUAUUCUUAGAGAUAGGAAGUUACUUCGGUACAUCGGAGACAGGUGGUGCAUGGUUGUCGUCAGCUCGUGUCGUGAGAUGUUGGGUUAAGUCCCGCAACGAGCGCAACCCUUAUUGUUAGAUGCCAUCAUUAAGUUGGGCACUCUAGCGAGACUGCCGGUAAUAAACCGGAGGAAGGUGGGGAUGACGUCAAAUCAUCAUGCCCCUUAUGACCUGGGCUACACACGUGCUACAAUGGUCGGUACAACGAGUUGCGAGCCGGUGACGGCAAGCUAAUCUCUGAAAGCCGAUCUCAGUUCGGAUUGGAGGCCGCAACUCGCCUCCAUGAAGUCGGAAUCGCUAGUAAUCGCGGAUCAGCACGCCGCGGUGAAUACGUUCCCGGGCCUUGUACACACCGCCCGUCACACCACGAGAGUUUGUAACACCCGAAGUCGNUGAGGUA